rnacentral:rRNA from 1 species
GACGAACGCUGGCGGCGUGCUUAACACAUGCAAGUCGAACGGAAAGGCCCUGCUUUUGUGGGGUGCUCGAGUGGCGAACGGGUGAGUAACACGUGAGUAACCUGUCCUUGACUUUGGGAUAACUUCAGGAAACUGGGGCUAAUACCGGAUAGGAGCUCCUGCUGCAUGGUGGGGGUUGGAAAGUUUCGGCGGUUGGGGAUGGACUCGCGGCUUAUCAGCUUGUUGGUGGGGUAGUGGCUUACCAAGGCUUUGACGGGUAGCCGGCCUGAGGGUGACCGGCCACAUUGGGACUGAGAUACGGCCCAGACUCCUACGGGAGGCAGCAGUGGGGAAUAUUGCACAAUGGGCGGAAGCCUGAUGCAGCAACGCCGCGUGCGGGAUGACGGCCUUCGGGUUGUAAACCACUUUCGCCUGUGACGAAGCGUGAGUGACGGUAAUGGGUAAAGAAGCACCGGCUAACUACGUG